UGUUUCGGCUAGGGGGCCAUCCCGGCUUACCAACCCGAUGCAAACUGCGAAUACCGGAGAAUGUUAUCACGGGAGACACACGGCGGGUGCUAACGUCCGUCGUGAAGAGGGAAACAACCCAGACCGCCAGCUAAGGUCCCAAAGUCAUGGUUAAGUGGGAAACGAUGUGGGAAGGCCCAGACAGCCAGGAUGUUGGCUUAGAAGCAGCCAUCAUUUAAAGAAAGCGUAAUAGCUCACUGGUCGAGUCGGCCUGCGCGGAAGAUGUAACGGGGCUAAACCAUGCACCGAAGCUGCGGCAGCGACGCUGAUGCGUUGUUGGGUAGGGGAGCGUUCUGUAAGCCUGCGAAGGUGGCCUGUGAGGGUUGCUGGAGGUAUCAGAAGUGCGAAUGCUGACAUA
rnacentral:rRNA from 1 species